GUGAAUCAUCGAAUCUUUGAACGCACCUUGCGCCCUCUGGUAUUCCGGAGGGCAUGCCUGUUUGAGUGUCAUGUAGACUCAAUCCCUCGGGUUUCCGAGGAGAUUGGACUUGGGUGUUGCCGCUCUGCCGGCUCGCCUUAAAAGACUUAGCGGGAUAGCACCGUAGUCGGCGUAAUAAGUUUCGUCGGUGAAGGUUGUGAUGACUGCUUACAAUCGCCCUCGGGCAAUUUUUGACUCUGACCUCAAAUCAGGUAGGACUACCCGCUGAACUUAAGCAUAUCAAUAAGCGGAGGA
rnacentral:misc_RNA from 1 species